rnacentral:lncRNA from 1 species
UCAUUGUUUUGUGAUCGAACAAUUUCCACCAGACUUUGGGGAUCGCGUAGAGAUUUUUCUACGUUCAACAUUGGAAGGAAUCUUCAUGGCUUGCUUGGGGGGAGUUGGGAAGAUGUCUCUAUUCUUUCAUUGGGAAGGGAAAGGAAACAAAUACUACAAAAAUACAAGGGUUCUACGUUCCAAGUCUAACCAAAUGACGGAUGGAUCCCCCAUUUGUUUUUUUUUUGUUUUUUGCAUGUGGGGCCUAUGGCUAGCUAAAGUGUGAGAAAACGAGAGAUAAGGGAAGAGAAAGGAAAAGUAAGAUGUGGCUAUGGCGUGAGUAGCACAAAAUAUUAAUAUUCAAACAGAUUUAUAAAAUUCAACAUAUAACUUUCAUAAAUUCAACUUAUUUUUCUUUAAAUUUGUUGACAAAUAUCUGUCUUCAAUAACAUAAUUUUAUUAAAACUAUAUCGUACAUAAAUAAAUAAUUACAAUUAACAUAAAUAAAUAAAAUAUAUAUCUAAACAUAAAUAACUCACGAUAAUUAGAAGUCGAGACUAAGGGGACGUUUGUUUGUUUGUUUUGUUUUAGGUUUAAUAAUUUAGUGUCAUUUUUUUGAAUGAUUUUUUUUUAUAUAAUAUUAAGUAAUGUUAAAUAAAUUUAUAAUAAUUUUGAAUUUUUUUAAAGAAAUAAAAUAAUAAAAAUAUGUUAUUCAAACAUUUCAAUUAUCAAAUAAAUUUUUUUAUUUAAAUUUUAUUAAACACCCCCUAAAUAGGCGGUGUCUAAUGUUAAAGGUAUUUAUUCAAAGAAAAUAUAUGUAAAAUAAAAAACAAUUAUAAACUGUUUGGCUUAUUAGGAGAUGCUCAUAAUUAUUACUAAUUCAAACCACCUUGUUAUAAUGGAAAUUGUCUAAGAUUAUUCACGUACAUCCCAAGAAAGUACCAAAGUUGUUAAGCGUGGAACAAUGA